GCCAUUUUUCUCUUUUUGCCUCUUUCAAUGGCUGCAUCAAGUUCAGGUGGACCCUCUAAACCGCAGUACAGGGAUUUGAGGUUCAAACUGCAAAAGUAUCUACAAGGAUGCCAGAGCCUUACUCCUGAUGGCCAGUGGUGAUGAUAACAUAUUAAGCAAUGGCAGAUUCCAGGCACAUAACGGUACCAUUAAUAAGGAGGCAGUUCUAUGAAAGAUUGCUAACAAAGCUUCAUGGAGCUCUACAACGCAGACCUGUAGAUAUGGACUAUUUGCAUUAUGUCAUCACUCAUGAAUUGAGACUUAUACGGUCAUUUGGUAAUAUUUUAGCAGUACCACAAGAUAUUCUUAAUGCCUUAUCCAAUCUUUUGAGACUGAUAAAUUUUCAAGACGGAGAGAGAC